UACGUAGGGUGCGAGCGUUGUCCGGAAUUAUUGGGCGUAAAGAGCUCGUAGGCGGUGUGUCACGUCGGCCGUGAAAACCUGCAGCUUAACUGUGGGCGUGCGGUCGAUACGGGCAUCACUGGAGUGCGGCAGGGGAGACUGGAAUUCCUGGUGUAGCGGUGAAAUGCGCAGAUAUCAGGAGGAACACCGGUGGCGAAGGCGGGUCUCUGGGCCGAUACUGACGCUGAGGAGCGAAAGCGUGGGGAGCGAACAGG
rnacentral:rRNA from 1 species